GGGCAUAGCUCAGAUGGUAGAGCAUCGGCCUUCCAAGCCGAGUGUCGCGGGUUCGAAUCCCGUUGCUC
rnacentral:tRNA from 1 species